AAACAAGGAUUCCCCCUAGUAACUGCGAGUGAAGCGGGAAAAGCUCGAAUUUAAAAUAUGUCUUUCUUUGCCCGUCCGAGUUGUAAUCUAGAGAAGUGUUUUCCGCGCUGGACCGUGUACAAGUCUCUUGGAACAGAGCGUCAUAGAGGGUGAGAAUCCCGUCUUUGACACGGACUACCAGUGCUUUGUGAUGCGCUCUCGAAGAGUCGAGUUGUUUGGGAAUGCAGCUCAAAAUGGGUGGUAAAUUCCAUCUAAAGCUAAAUAUUGGCGAGAGACCGAUAGCGAACAAGUACCGUGAGGGAAAGAUGAAAAGCACUCUGGAAAGAGAGUUAAACAGUACGUGAAAUUGUUGAAAGGGAAACGCUUGAAGUCAGUCGCGUCUUCCGGGACUCAGCCUUGCUUCUGCUGGGUGUACUUCCCGGUUGACGGGCCAGCAUCAAUUUCGACCGUCGGAAAAAGGCUGGAGGAAUGUGGCACCCCCGGGUGUGUUAUAGCCCCUGGUCGUAUACAGCGGAUGGGAUCGAGGAACGCAGCGCGCCGCAAGGCCGGGGUUCGCCCACGUUCGAGCUUAGGAUGCUGGCAUAAUGGCUUUA
rnacentral:rRNA from 1 species